rnacentral:rRNA from 1 species
UACGUAGGGUGCGAGCGUUAAUCGGAAUUACUGGGCGUAAAGCGUGCGCAGGCGGUUUUGUAAGCCAGAUGUGAAAGCCCCGGGCUUAACCUGGGAAUGGCAUUUGGGACUGCAAGGCUUGAGUGCGGAAGGGGAGAGUGGAAUUCCUGGUGUAGCGGUGAAAUGCGCAGAUAUCAGGAAGAACACCAGUGGCGAAGGCGGCUCACUGGCCCGGUAUUGACGCUCAUGUGCGAAAGCGUGGGGAGCAAACAGG